rnacentral:lncRNA from 1 species
AAAUCUUAGCUCCUCUUCCCAGUGGAAAUGAAGGAUAAGCAUCACACACCUCCAGCAAGGGCUUUGAUCAGCGCAGUCCUUUGCAUGUUGUCGGAGCCACGCACAUCCUGCUGUUUCUCCUUGUGGCCCAGCACCACCUGCUGGUCAGUGGCAGAACUGUCCUGACUUCGUCAACAUGAGGCUGCUAACAGGGAAAACUGCAUCUCAGCAUUUUCAUUGUUUCUGAUUAUUAAGUGAAAAGCAAAUUAUUUUCUUCUUGAAUGCUACUUAUUUGUAAGAAAUAGCUGUUUCUAAGGACUUGUGAAUUCCCGCAUCUGUGUUUGAUGUUAUUUGUAUGCAAUGGAUUGCUGGCCCUUUGUUCUUAAGUACAGAGAAGACCAAAGAUGCCUCCGGUGACCUCUCCAGUGAGGAUCCACAUCCUGCCAGACUUGCUCUCUGACAAACUGGAAAGGCAUGUUGUUCGGUGCUCCAGCAGCCAGAAGUGUUUUUUGUGGAACUAAAACUAAUGCUGUUACUCUCACAAAGGAAAUGUUCUUUUACUAAGUUAUUGCUGAUUACUGAAUGUCUGUUAUAUAAAGGUUUGCUGUCAAGAAGGAAAGUUAUAUUUUUUAUCACAUUUUAAGUUUUUAAGCAAAUGUGAUUUUUUUUUUAAAGAAAUAAGGCUUUCUCUGAGAAUUGUGUGCUAUUCAUAAUUUUAGAAAUUACAAACUGCUUGGAACAACUACUUGAGUGUAUUUUUCUACACAGGACUGUACUUCUGCCACUUCUUCCUUUUAAACAAAACUGUCAUAUCAUGUAUUAAAAUUUCCUUGGUUUUAUAUAUCAGAGAAUAAAAACUUUUUUGACUUUUGAGUAAACAAACAAAAAAAUCACUGGCCUUACUCACUUAAUAAUUCUUCAUCUUCUUACCAACAAAAAGGUCUCUAGCUGUUCAUAAU